CGAACGCUGGCGGCGUGCUUAACACAUGCAAGUCGAACGGUUCAAUACUCGACACUGAAUGUUUUAAAUCCAUUAAGGAAAGAGCAAAGAGAGCAUUACGCGAUCAAAAAAUGCUAACACAACAAGGAAAGUAAAAACAUUGAGUGUUGAGUAUUGGAUAGUGGCGGACGGGUGAGUAACGCGUGGGUAACCUACCUGUAAGCGGGGGAUAACAGUUGGAAACGACUGCUAAUACCGCAUAAGUUUCCUUAUUAAGUUGAGGAAGUAAAGAUGGCCUCUUAACAAUGCUGUCACUUACAGAUGGGCCCGCGUCUGAUUAGCUAGUUGGUGGGGUAAAGGCCUACCAAGGCGACGAUCAGUAGCCGGCC
rnacentral:rRNA from 1 species